UUUGUCUUCCAAAUCUUGAGCCAGGGAGGGUCAAUGCAACAUGAUGGUUGGGUCGUCAAGUUGAUGGUUCGGUCAUAUAGAGGGAUCUAUUUUUAGACGUACUGCCAUUGUCUCUCAAGCACCCUUAUUCAUCCCCAUUCAUUCAGGAACCAACUUACAUAGGAGAGGUAGGUAAGAGUCACAGUUGCAACAUACUUACCCAACAGGGCAUGGGGA